UAGAUAGGAAGAUUUUCAGACUAGAUGGUAUCGGGAAUAGUAGUGUAAUGCUGUGAAGGUGAAACAGGUAUUAUGCUGCUAUUCACGAGACGGUGCUAGUCCCAGUGUCUACACCUUUAC
rnacentral:precursor_RNA from 9 species